AACAUUCUGGCAACUUUGAGGCAAAAAGCAGAAAAGUGACACCCAGAGCAGUCCCAGCUGCCGAGCGGGUGCGGUGCGCGCCCGCAGCCCGGCGGAAGUGAGCUGGGCUGGGGCCGGAAGCCCGAGGGCUGUCCGCCGCGUGCGUGCGCCAGGAAUGCGACCAGACAGGCCGCCGUUUUCCACUUGCUCCUCUGAAGGCAGAGGGAGAGGAAGCAGGGUCUUGAGUCCCUGGAAAGGAGCUUCACGACAGCGAGCGAGGUCAAAUGUGGGAGCGGGCGAAACGCCUGUCUGGGGUCUGGCUAAAGCGCGGGUUUUCUCGCUGCUGCAGAACCGCGGGUCUCACGCACGCGCACACCGCGCGCGGGCACCGCCACCGGCUGCGUAACCCUCGGGCUCCCUGCUGGGACGAAAGCCUGUGAGGCAAGCUAAACAUGCAUGGGAGGACGCAGGACGUGGCGCUGUGUGGGCGAGACCCAGGAGAAGGAACACGCGCGAGGGCCCUGGUCUCCCGGAGUCCGUGCCCAGAGCCCGGCGCAGACCCGCCCCGCGUCUGCCCCUUGCCUGCGUCUCCAGAGGCUGCAGCCGGUAAAAGUAACCCGGGUCCCUAGGAAAGCUCCUCAGAAACGCCUUGUGGAGCCUCACCUGGGAAAGCAGAGAGCACGCAGUGAGAGCAGUUACUUUCAGACCAGCCCGGGAAGGGGCCACUCACGGAGCUUGUCCACGCUCACUCCCUCCGCCGCCGCUCUCUCCAGCUGGAAGAAGUCGUAGUCAAACCUGCUCAAGUCCUCGCUGCCUCGCUCCGAAGGAAACCCCACGUAGAGCUUUGUCUUGGUCGCAAUGGGCACCCCGUUAACGACAACCUUGCAUUUGCCGUGUGGAGUGACCAUCACUUUACCAUCCGAAUUUGUGAAGGAAGCAUGUUUAUCUGAAAUUCUAAGAAGACAAGAGUUUGUCUAAAUCACCCAAUACAUUACGAUUGUGCACAAGACGACAGAUAGCUGCUGAAGAAUGGCACAAGGCGUCUGCCAGGGCCCCAUGUGCUGUGGCUCUCGAGCAAACACCAGUUGGGUGGCUACAGCUGCAGAUGCAGAGAUCGUAGCUGGAGUCCUGAAAAGGCCAGUGGGAUGGGACGAUGACAACAAAGAUGCUUCAGAAGAGAUACAUGGAAGGUGGCUUCAUAACAAGCCUUGCAUACUACAGAAAUGGGGUCUCACUAUGUUGCCCAGGCUGGUCUUAACUU